GCGGCCACCCCACAGUGCCGCGGCGGCGACCAAGGGUCACCCCGGGCCGGCGGCCCGGGCGCUGCCGGAGCCGGGGCAGCGGCAGAGGGCCGCCCCGCCGCUGCCGCCUUCCGCUCGUUACCUUUGUGCUCGUCAUCCAGAGAACUACACUUUGUUGGUGACAUCACUAGAAUACCAAGGAUGUGCCUUUUCCUAAUUUUUCACCUUUCUGUCAGAAGUCAUGCAAACUGACUAAGUUGCAGUAUUUCCAUCUUGGAGGGCCUACAGUUUAGAAAUGAACUCUAUGAAAAGACAGGAAAACCACCAUUUGCCAUAUGCAGGCAACUGCCCUGUGGAUAUUUUAGGACUGUAGCUUCAGCUGAAUCAGAGAUACUUGGAAAAAGAGAGAUAGCUUCAGCAACUUGUGGAAAAUUUGAGCAUCUGGAAUCUGAACUAACUGCAAUGGAUGGGAAAAUGAAACAGCUUCAACUAGAUCACUACUGAUACUGAGGGAAGCUUUCUGAGAUCUGCCCAUGAGAAUCGACAGGAAGGAAAAAACAUCUUAGUCAACGAUUGGAGGACAUGCAGUAAUCACUCUUCAGCAGCAGUGUAUUUUAGGCCAUUGUUACCCUGGUUCACUACAAUGCUCUUUUAGGGAAAAAGUCUGCUUCCAGCCACAUUAUAAAGACAUGGUGUAGAGAGAGGAGAGUCUGGCACAGAGUCUAUGGAGACUCUCUGUAAUCUCUUGAGGCCACACAUGAACAAAAAGAGAGUAUCUUCCUUAAGGAACAUUAUCGCAUGAAUUUUAUGUAAGCAGAAUUAUCAGAAGAAAAAUAAACAAUGAAAGCUUGCAUGAAAGCAAGCUAGUGAGUGAAAGCAUCAGAUUAGCAAGUGUCACAUAGACAGAUUGUAACAGAUAGUGAUAAAAUGGCUCCAGGAGGAGGCUUUUCUUACUACUCAAAUCCAUUAUAUCACAUCCUACUUAUAAAGUAAUCUUCUGAGACCCAGCUGACUUUUUGUACAAUCUGACAUGUUACUUAACUGUUUAUCACAUCAAGAAUGAUCAUAAUACGUAAAAGUGAGGACUGUGUAGCAUUUUUUUUGAGGUAAGGAAGUCAGUUUCCUUCUCAACCGUAAUCCUGCACUUGUUAAGAAGAUGAGAGACUUCUGACAAAACAGAGUGGUUUAUAAAGAACUCGGACUGCAGAUGAGUUCUUGUUCCCUUUGCAUGUCAUCUACAGGCCACACUUUCAUUUUUUCCAUACCUGAAGAGACUAGUGCAUAGAUACUACAUAAACUACGUACCAGGAACCCAGUAUAGACAUAGAAAGUUCUGUAGUGGACUCUCAAAUACAAGGCAUUCUUUCUAAUUUACCUAUAUCUCUCACUGUGUUGCUAGGAUUUACAGUGAAAUUUAUUGUUGAUCUAGAAACUGAUGUAGAUUAAUGCAUAAACCUGAAGACUGUACCUCCCUUCCAUACCAACACUAGUACUGCUGAAUUAUUCUAUAGGCAAUUAAGAGAAAUCUCUGGAUUGGUAGUCCUUGUCCUUAUGGGAGAUUUCAACUUCCCAGACAUCAGCUGGGAGUAACGUACUGCUGUGGCAAGCAAGCCUGGGAAAUUUCUGGAGUUGGCUGAACAUAAUUUCUUGUCAUAAGUACUCAGUAAGCCAACUAGGAAAGGUGCCGUCCUCAACUUGUCAUUUCUGAAUAGAGAAGGACUCACGGGAUAUGUGAUGGUAGGUGGCUAUCUUGGCCACCGUGAUCCCAAAAUGGUUGAGUUUAAAAUUUUUAGUGUAAUGAGAAAAAAGUUCACCAGCAUUGCUACCCCAUAUUUCAAGAGACCAAAAUUUAAGCUGCUCAGGGACCUACUUCGCGUGUCCCCUGGGAAUCUGCUUUUGAGGGCUUUGGGGUCCAUGAGUGCUAGUCAGUUUAAGCACAGGAGCAGGCCAUCCUGUUGUGUUGCAAGGCAAGCAAUCGGGGCAGAAGACCAGCUUGGCUCAACAGGGAACUCCUCUUGGAACUCAGGAGGAAAAAGAGAUUGGAUGAUCUCUAGAAGCGAGGUCAGGCUUCACGGGAAGAUUAUAGAGCCGUCGUUUGCAUAUGUAGGGAUACAACAUGAAAGGCCAAAGCUCAGCUGGAGUUGAAACUGGCUAUUGUUGUACUAGAAAACAAGAUAGGAUGUCCAAGGAAAAUAUAGCACCCAUACUUGUUGAAGAUGGUCCCCUGGCAAAUAGGGGUGCAGAAGAAGUGGAGGCAUUCAGUGCUUUUUUUGCCUCAGUCUUUAAUACUAAUGAUAGGCCUUGGGCUGUCCGGUCCUCUGAGUUGGAGGACCAUGACUGCAGGAACAGUGACUUUGCAUGUGGGGACAUGGAAAUUGUAAGGGGCUAGCUGUAUCAGCUGAAUGUUCAUACAUCUAUGGGACCUGGUGGGAUUCAUUCCUGUGUACUGAAUGAGCUAGGGGAUGUGAUGGCAGCACCCCUCUCCAUCAUGUACCAGAAGUCUUGGGAGCCUAGGUAGGCCCCCGCUGACUGGGAGCUGUCCAACAGUGUUCCAAUUUAAAAGAAAGGCAUGAAGGAAGACUCAGAAAACUGCAGACCUGUUACUGUAACCUCAGCACCUGGAAAAAUGAAGCAGAAGAUCCUACUGGGUGCUGCUGAAAGGCAUUUCAAGGACAAUGCAGUCAUCAGGCACAGUCAACAUGGGUUCACAAAGGGAAAGCCCUGUCUAUCCUUCUAUGAUAAGGUCGGCCUCCUAGUGAGUGAAGAGAAGGCAGAUGUGGCUUUUCUGGAUUUUAGGAAGGCUUUUGAUACAGAACCUUACAGCAUCCUUCUGGACAAGUUGUCCAACUGUGAGAUGAUGUUGUGGUUUAACCCUGGCCAGCAAUUAAGCACCACGAAGCUGCUCACUCACUUCCCCCCCACCACACAGUGAUGGACUGUGAUGUCACCCAGCAGUGGACACCUGUGCUGGGGCCGCAGCACUGCUAGGGCGAGCGCUGUGGGCAAGGAUAGCCUGUUGUGAUGUCACUGAGGGAUGGAGUACAACAUCCCUGAGUGAUGGAUUGUGACCAGGCGACCCUCACUGCUUAUAUUUGGGUGCCAAGUCUCAGCCAGCCAGCUCAUGGCCGCACUCCAGCUGAGCAGAUCGCGAGGUCUGGAGCACUGAGCGAGGCCUUGGCGCUGGUGUCGUGCUCAGGGAGUUGCUCCUUGCAGCUCUCAGUGCCCAACCCCAGAGCCGUCGAAGGAUUUUCCCCGGC